AACGAACGCUGGCGGCAGGCCUAACACAUGCAAGUCGAGCGCCCCGCAAGGGGAGCGGCGGACGGGUGAGUAACGCGUGGGAACGUGCCCUCUUCUACGGAAUAGCCUCGGGAAACUGGGAGUAAUACCGUAUACGCCCUUAGGGGGAAAGAUUUAUCGGAGGAGGAUCGGCCCGCGUUGGAUUAGGUAGUUGGUGGGGUAAUGGCCUACCAAGCCGACGAUCCAUAGCUGGUUGAGAGGAUGAUCAGCCACACUGGGACUGAGACACGGCCCAGACUCCUACGGGAGGCAGCAGUGGGGAAUCUUAGACAAUGGGCGCAAGCCUGAUCUAGCCAUGCCGCGUGAGCGAUGAAGGCCUUAGGGUUGUAAA
rnacentral:rRNA from 1 species